AACGAACGCUGGCGGCAGGCUUAACACAUGCAAGUCGAACGCCCCGCAAGGGGAGUGGCAGACGGGUGAGUAACACGUGGGAACAUGCCCAAAGGUACGGAAUAUUCUCGGGAAACUGGGAGCAAUACCGUAUGUGCCCGAAAGGGGAAAGAUUUAUCGCCUUUGGAUUGGCCCGCGUUGGAUUAGCUAGUUGGUGGGGUAAAAGCCUACCAAGGCGACGAUCCAUAGCUGGUCUGAGAGGACGACCAGCCACACUGGGACUGAGACACGGCCCAGACUCCUACGGGAGGCAGCAGUGGGGAAUCUUGGACAAUGGGCGCAAGCCUGAUCCAGCCAUGCCGCGUGAGUGAUGAAGGCCCUAGGGUUGUAAAACUCUUUCGUGGGGGACGAUAAUGACGGUACCCCAAGAAGAAGCUCCGGCUAACUUCGUGCCAGCCGCCGCUGUAAGAC
rnacentral:rRNA from 1 species